rnacentral:misc_RNA from 1 species
AACGCACCUUGCGCCUUUUGGGUUUACCCUGGGCAUGCUGGAUUGAGCGCCUUUUUAAACCUCGCGCUUGCGCGGAUUUGAGUCUUGCUGGCUUGCCAGCUCACUCUGAAUGCAUGAGCGGCUAUUCGCUCGAAGCAACGUGAUAAGUAUCUUCGUUGUGACGAGCCGAGUAGACGCUUCAAAUCGUCUUCGGACAAUUCCAAUGCCAGGCAUCAAUUUAGUAGGAUUACCCGCUGAACUUAA